UGGCUCAGGAUGAACGCUGGCGGCGUGCCUAAUACAUGCAAGUCGAGCGAACGGACGAGAAGCUUGCUUCUCUGAUGUUAGCGGCGGACGGGUGAGUAACACGUGGAUAACCUACCUAUAAGACUGGGAUAACUUCGGGAAACCGGAGCUAAUACCGGAUAAUAUUUUGAACCGCAUGGUUCAAAAGUGAAAGACGGUCUUGCUGUCACUUAUAGAUGGAUCCGCGCUGCAUUAGCUAGUUGGUAAGGUAACGGCUUACCAAGGCAACGAUGCAUAGCCGACCUGAGAGGGUGAUCGGCCACACUGGAACUGAGACACGGUCCAGACUCCUACGGGAGGCAGCAGUAGGGAAUCUUCCGCAAUGGGCGAAAGCCUGACGGAGCAACGCCGCGUGAGUGAUGAAGGUCUUCGGAUCGUAAAACUCUGUUAUUAGGGAAGAACAUAUGUGUAAGUAACUGUGCACAUCUUGACGGUACCUAAUCAGAAAGCCACGGCUAACUACGUGCCAGCAGCCGCGGUAAUACGUAGGUGGCAAGCGUUAUCCGGAAUUAUUGGGCGUAAAGCGCGCGUAGGCGGUUUUUUAAGUCUGAUGUGAAAGCCCACGGCUCAACCGUGGAGGGUCAUUGGAAACUGGAAAACUUGAGUGCAGAAGAGGAAAGUGGAAUUCCAUGUGUAGCGGUGAAAUGCGCAGAGAUAUGGAGGAACACCAGUGGCGAAGGCGACUUUCUGGUCUGUAACUGACGCUGAUGUGCGAAAGCGUGGGGAUCAAACAGGAUUAGAUACCCUGGUAGUCCACGCCGUAAACGAUGAGUGCUAAGUGUUAGGGGGUUUCCGCCCCUUAGUGCUGCAGCUAACGCAUUAAGCACUCCGCCUGGGGAGUACGACCGCAAGGUUGAAACUCAAAGGAAUUGACGGGGACCCGCAC
rnacentral:rRNA from 1 species